rnacentral:rRNA from 1 species
GUCGUAGUGAUGUGGCUGAUUCCUAUUGGUGCUUCACGAGAAGUCUACUGAGCCUUAUUAUUUAGAGGAAGGAGAAGUCGUAACAAGGUUUCCGUAGGUGAACCUGCGAAAGGAUUAUUAUUAAU